rnacentral:rRNA from 1 species
AUGAUUACAAUGGAAGAAACUCAAAUCAGAAGGUUGACAAGAGGAAAUUUAACUGCCAUAAUUGUGGUGAACAAGGACACUUCAGAUUUGAGUGCACUAAGAAGAGGAAGCCGGAUGAUAAGAAGUAUAACAACAACUAGUCCAAACGUCAGGAUAAUAGAAGGGGAAAUUCGUCACCUGAUGGGAGGCCUUGGUGAAAGGAAGUCGACGUCAGAUUGUCUAUUUACUUUGGCUGGAUGUGCUAUCCCUUGGAAGAGCAAGAAACAAACUUUUGUGGCGCAGUCUUCUAUGGAAGCAGAGUACAUUACUGCGAAUGAAGCUAUAAAAGAUGGAGUUUGGUUGAGGAACUUUCUGGUUUCUCUAGAGAGAGUUGAAAAUGCGUCAGAUCCGGUCACUGUUUAUUGUGAUAAUCAAGCGGCGAUUAAACUUUCCAGGGAUCCCAAGUUUCAUAGCAGGGGUAGACAUGUUGAG